rnacentral:tRNA from 1 species
UCCCUGGUGGCUCAGCCAGGAAAGCAUCUGCCUGCAAUGCAGGGGACCUGGGUUCGAUCCCUGGCUCGGGAA